GAUGAAGAACGUAGCGAAAUGCGAUACUUGGUGUGAAUUGCAGAAUCCCGUGAACCAUCGAGUCUUUGAACGCAAGUUGCGCCCGAAGCCAUUAGGCCGAGGGCACGCCUGCCUGGGCGUCACACGUCGUUGCCCCCCCAUCUACUCCUUCGGGAUUGCGGGGGGCGGAUGAUGGCCUCUCGUGCGCCUCGUCGCGCGGUUGGCCUAAAUGCCAAGUCCUCGGCGACGCACGCCACGACAAUCGGUGGUUGCGAAACCUCGGUUGCCUGUCGUGUGUGGUCGUCGCGCAUCGAGGGCUCGAAAAAAUUGCCGGGCUUCGGCUCGACUUUCAACGCGACCCCAGGUCAGGCGGGGUUACCCGCUGAAUUUAAGCAUAUCAAUAAGCGGAGGA
rnacentral:misc_RNA from 1 species